rnacentral:lncRNA from 1 species
GCCAGCAAGAUGGACUGCAGGAAUACAGGUUGUCUUUUUGGGCAGGCGGACAGACAUCCCACUAAUCAGAGAGCCUCAAGAUGCAUCUGUGUGGCGCGACAUUCCUUCUCCAGACUCUUCUCAGCUGCUACAUGCUUGCUGCUGCUGUUCCGGCCAGGCCCCGAGGGGAUAAGGCAUCCACAGUUGAUUGGCAGGCCAAUCUGCAGAAAGAAUUCAGAAGAAGCGUAAACUUCUCGCGACAACUACUCUGCAAAAUAAGGGUCCUUAAACAUCAUUAUCUCUCCGACCGUCUCCCGGGAGCUUCACUCACUUUCGUAACUCACAAAGGGCUGUUUUCCUUAACGAGCUUGGAUCUUCAUACAGGGCUUUCUCUUUCGGAUGCCAAGCGCUUGACCCACCUGGCCAAGAUGCUGUCAUUCUAUCAGGACUUGAUACAACAGCUAAAGGACUAUGAAGCAGACAGAGAAGAUUCUACAUUUGUCCCUCAGCUCGAAGAUCUUGGUUUUAACCUCCGAGAUCUGAGUCAUCAUGUGAGUUAUCAGAUUUCACUUUGGGGCCUGCCAUCUGAAAAUAACCCUGAACCAACUCCCGAACCACCUCAGAUUCUUCAGAGUAAGGAUCAGUGGAGGAACCGCCAGGAAGGAUACAUUGUCUUGCGCCAUCUUGAGAGCUUCCUAUGUCGUGCCACGCAGGAUUUCUGGAUUCUUAAAGAUAAAAUAAGGAUGUAAAUCCUUGCACUUUUUUUCAUUCCCAUGCAAGAGAAGGAGAAAACAACAACGUUUUGACUUCAUGCCCAAGAGAGAAUGAAAUGUACUUUCUGCCAAUCUUGAUUUCAGUUUUUGCUUUUGCAAGAACAAGGUUUUUUUACAUGAAGAAUGCAAAUUGCAUGAAAUCAUAACUGUAGCUGCUUUGUUCCAUUGACUUUUAAGAAUUAAGAUCACUGGGUGGAUCGUUUGCUUCUUUUUAAACAAUGGCCCAGCCCUUCUGUGCCUGCUGUGUGUGCUUUGCUUCUUAAAAGCAAAGAGUACUACUUUUGCCCAGAGUUUUACGUCUUCCUCUCAUCCUAGGGGUGAGGAAUCUUGAAAAGUUUGAACAUUUUGUUUCAAAGCUCCUAAAUCAAUGUGAACAAAGCAUUUAGCAAAUCUUCUUAACAUCCCUAGAUUAGACUGAUCUUUUUAGAUCCAAGGGUUCUUAAAUCCAACUUGUUCCCAUUCUAACCCUCUCCUGCACCACCAACACCCAUUCCAACCUGGUAGGGAAUGUUAGCAUUCUGGCAUCCAGAUUGUAGAUCCCUUCUCAUAAUUUAUGGACUUUUUUUAUUUAUGAAGAUUAAUGUUGCUUAUCUGAAAUGUCUAAUUUAUAUAUAUUUAUUUUUUUCUACAGAAGUAUUAUUUUAACUUAUUUUGUCAAUAAAAAUGGAUUAGAAAACCA